GAUGAACGCUGGCGGCGUGCUUAACACAUGCAAGUCGAACGGAUUUAACAGAAAGCUUGCUUUCGGUUAAAUUAGUGGCGGACGGGUGAGUAACGCGUGGAUAACCUGCCGUAUACAGGGGGAUAACACUUAGAAAUAGGUGCUAAUACCGCAUAAGCGCACAGUUUCGCAUGAGACAGUGUGAAAAACUCCGGUGGUAUACGAUGGAUCCGCGUCUGAUUAGGUAGUUGGUGGGGUAACGGCCUACCAAGUCGACGAUCAGUAGCCGGACUGAGAGGUUGAACGGCCACAUUGGGACUGAGACACGGCCCAGACUCCUACGGGAGGCAGCAGUGGGGAAUAUUGCACAAUGGGCGCAAGCCUGAUGCAGCAAACGCCGCGUGAGGGAAGACGGUCUUCGGAUUGUAAACCUCUGUCCUUGGUGAAGAAAUUGACGGUACACACAGAAUAAGCCACGGCUAACUACGUG
rnacentral:rRNA from 1 species